rnacentral:rRNA from 2 species
GCCCUAGUAACGGCGAGUGAAGCGGCAACAGCUCAAAUUUGAAAUCUGGCCCUCGGGUCCGAGUUGUAAUUUGUAGAGGAUGCUUUUGGCGCGGUGCCUUCCGAGUUCCCUGGAACGGGACGCCUUAGAGGGUGAGAGCCCCGUACGGUUGGACACCAAGCCUCUGUAAAGCUCCUUCGACGAGUCGAGUAGUUUGGGAAUGCUGCUCUAAAUGGGAGGUAAAUUUCUUCUAAAGCUAAAUAUUGGCCAGAGACCGAUAGCGCACAAGUAGAGUGAUCGAAAGAUGAAAAGCACUUUGAAAAGAGGGUUAAAUAGCACGUGAAAUUGUUGAAAGGGAAGCGUUUGCGACCAGACCUUUUCCCAGCGGAUCAUCCGGUGUUCUCACCGGUGCACUUCGCUGGGUUUAGGCCAGCAUCGGUUUCCGUAGGGGGAUAAAAGCCCUGGGAACGUAGCUCCCUCGGGAGUGUUAUAGCCCUCUGCAUAAUACCCUUACGGGGACCGAGGACCGCGCUUCGGCAAGGAUGCUGGCGUAAUGGUCGUCACGAC